rnacentral:rRNA from 1 species
AUGGCAGUGCAUCAGCCACACCCCGGGGUUGUCGGCGACGAACCGGAUGACAGCCCACCCAUUCAGCGGGACGCCCACCGUGUUCCUCAUUGGUGGGUCGUCGAGGUUGAACUUUGCGGUGUCGGUAGCGGCAUCGAAGUUGCCGAAGCCCUCAGCGAGGAUGAAGAAGUCGUAGCCAUGGGUGUGGAUAGGGUGGUUCUCCCCGGCGAAGAUGUUGGUGCCCUGGAGCACGAUCUGCACCACGGAGCCGUACUUGAGCUUGUACACCUUGGUGCCUGGCACGGGCUGCCAGAGCGCGCGGCUCACAUUCUGCGCCGUGUAGUCGAACUGCACCGGCGGGUUGGCGGGGAAGUCGGUGGUGAAGACGCCGGUGGCGGCGGCAUCGCCCUGGUAGUGUGCCUGGAGGAUGGAGACGGUGGAGGGGAGAACGAAGGAGGCGUUGUUGAUGCUCGCCGCGAACCGCGUGUUGUUGGGGCCGCCGCAGUUCUGUCCGCUGGAGCAGUUGAAGAGGCCGACGCCGACGGUGAAGAAAAGGUCCUCGUCGACCGCCGAGGGGAGGCCCACCGAGUGGAGGUUGCGCAGGCUCGUUGUGAACGUGGUGACCGUGGCCGUGUCAUUGUACGCUGGGAGGGUCGGCAUCGCCGGGCUCGCCGUGCCACCGGCGCCGUAGUCGAAGAUGGCGGUGGUGGUGGUGUUGUCGAAGGGCACACCCUGCGCGCUGGCGUAGGCGCGGGCGGCGAGGUAGUACCGGCCCGGCGGCUGGUCGAAGGUGACGAGGACGUCCGUGGUCUGGCCGGGCCCGAGCACGAUGACAGUGGUGUUGUACGGCUUGAGGUAGGAGGCGUCGGCGCCCACGACGGUCAUGGUGUGGCCGGCGAGGGAGACGAAGAGCUCGGUGUUGAGCGCGGCGUUGAUGAAGCGCAACAGGUUGGUCUCGCCGGACUUGACCGGGAACACGGUCGUGUCUUGGGAGGAGCAGCUGUAGAGGUCGCCGGGUUGGCCGUUGACGGUGAUGGCGUCGGAGACGUUGGGAGCUGCACCGGUGCGCGUGGCGGUGCGGAUGACGUCGAUGGGGUUCAUGUCCCACCACUCACCUGCGCGCAUGCAGCCAGAUUAUUAGUUGCAGAAAACGGUACUGUACUAUCUAUCUAG